AUCUACGACCACAGAAAGAGGACUACUGCGUAUCCCGUCCGCUCUGCGCUACAUAAGCCUCUUAUCGGGCGCUCAGUAUUACCGUGGGUGACCAGGUGAGAAUCGCGUCUGUUGUAGAUU
rfam:Arthrobotrys oligospora ATCC 24927 unplaced genomic scaffold scaffold00097, whole genome shotgun sequence.